GGUUGCGAUCAUACCAGCACUAAUGCACCGGAUCCCAUCAGAACUCCGCAGUUAAGCGUGCUUGGGCGAGAGUAGUACUAGGAUGGGUCUCCGCAGUUAAGCGUGCUUGGGCGAGAGUAGUACUAGGAUGGGUGACCCCCUGGUAAGUCCUCGUGUUGCAACCC
rnacentral:rRNA from 1 species